rnacentral:lncRNA from 1 species
UCUCCCAGAUUUGUAGAAACAUGUCCGCAUUAGGGGAGGAUGUACGAGAUGCUGUGUUGGUAGUUCUGCCUGUGCUGCCACAAGAGAAAUGACUGUCUCUCCUGAGCAAGUUGGCAAGCAUAGGAGUUGAGUCCAAAUCUGACCUGCAGUUUGUUAAAGAAGAGGAUAUCCCUGAUCACAUCACGCCAAUACAGUGUCGUCGGCUCCUCAAUGGGUGGAAUGUAGAAGACCAAAGAAGUUGUGUCGAAGUAACACCCCUAGAAUCCACACAAAUAGACUUUGAUACCACAACGGAUGAUUUUUCAUCAUCAAAUUCUAGUUCCUCAUGCACACCAAGCGUCUCCAGCACAAACAGUUGCAGUACAACUGUGGACUUAAGUGUUUGGCCUGAAAACUUCGAAGUUCCCUGGAAUAGGAUGCUUUUUGGUAUUAAAACAUCCAUUGCACUGGGAAGACGCCCCACAGCUAAAGAUCGCCGAGAAAUGGUAAGAAUUGUUGUGGAUGAGAUGAGACUGAAAGAGUUAAAUCCAUCAAAAUCACAGUGCUUGAUUGUCGUGAAAAAGAUCAUCAAACAAUACUCACAAAGCUUUGCUGAUGUCCUGAGAGAUGGCACAAGAAUAGGUACUGGCUAUGGAUCUCUUUUGACCCAAAUAAAAACAAGGGUGGAGCACGUUAAUCGUGGCUGCUUGUUGUCAAGAUGCAGGAAACAGAAAAAGAUCUACAAAUUCAUCAGCAGUAGACGUUCGCCCCAGGACCUGCAGACCAGUAUGGUUGUGUGAGAUGGCAACCUGAUUGUCCACUAGAAGAAUCUGAGGAGAGUCUCCAAAGAAAAACAAAAAGAAAUGAAAGAACUCUACAGUGCUGAGGGACCAGCUGGGGUAGAGAAGGACAUCUCAGUCAGUUAAUGAAGGCAACAUACUACCUACAAAGGAAAUCCAUCAAUGCCUGCCCACCACCAUCGAUUGCUGACUUGAAAAAUGACUGGCCUUAUCUUUUCAUGCCCAAAGAAUUGUACAACCACUUUACAUCUCUUACAAACAUUAACAUUCUAGAGAAACUUGAGAAGUCUAUGGAAAAAAAGGGAAAGAUGAUACUUCAGCUCUUCCGUCAAAUGCCAGCAGGGACUAAUACAGUUGAGAUGCAACGCAUGCUUAUGAAGUAUGAUAACAGUGGAGCAUCCUGUUUCAUCCCAUGUGUGGUCCUCCUUCUUCUCUCACACUUCAAAGAAAAACCUGAAGCACUCAUCCUUCAGGCUGAUAUGUUUUGUAGGAAUCAACCCAUCUACUGGUACCAAGACAGCCACAACAAAGGUUGGAGUCAAAAGAAGUGGAAAGGCCUCAGAGAAGAGGAACCACACAGUGAACCCUCAUGUGUGUACACUUCUCAAAAGACUAAUGGACUUUAAGUGGAUAAGUUAAGCAUGUAACAAAUGUGUAUCAAAACUACAGAUCAAAAUCUACAAAAUGACACUUUGAGGCAUGUUUUUAAUUUAUAUUCUAACAAUUUUGAUCUUGUUCAGUAAGAUCUUAUUCACUGUCAAAAAGGUGUUCAACAUACACACAAAAAAAGUUUUUUUAAAAAAAAUACUUUAGAUUAAAACAGUUUAUGUUUUAGAUUGAAUGCUGUCAUUUGUGUUUAUGACAACAUUUAUACAGAACAAAACAACAACAACAAAAAGCAGAAAUGUGAGAUUACAAGGAGUCAAAAUUGUUUUGGUACCAUGCCAUUUUGUUGAUUGAUCUUAAAGG